rnacentral:rRNA from 1 species
UGUUUGAUGUUCUAACGUGGACCCGUGAUCCGGGUUGCGGACAGUGUCUGGUGGGUAGUUUGACUGGGGCGGUCUCCUCCUAAAGAGUAACGGAGGAGCACGAAGGUUGGCUAAUCCUGGUCGGACAUCAGGAGGUUAGUGCAAUGGCAUAAGCCAGCUUGACUGCGAGCGUGACGGCGCGAGCAGGUGCGAAAGCAGGUCAUAGUGAUCCGGUGGUUCUGAAUGGAAGGGCCAUCGCUCAACGGAUAAAAGGUACUCCGGGGAUAACAGGCUGAUACCGCCCAAGAGUUCAUAUCGACGGCGGUGUUUGGCACCUCGAUGUCGGCUCAUCACAUCCUGGGGCUGAAGUAGGUCCCAAGGGUAUGGCUGUUCGCCAUUUAAAGUGGUACGCGAGCUGGGUUUAGAACGUCGUGAGACAGUUCGGUCCCUAUCUGCCGUGGGCGCUGGAGAACUGAGGGG